rnacentral:lncRNA from 1 species
UGAUACAUUAAUUUUGGAAGCAAAAACAUGUGAAACAAAGGAAUGCGAUGCACCAGUAUCAAAUAAAACAUGAGCAAUAUGGUCACAGAUAGUAUACAUACCUUGUACCAUAUCUGGGUCGGCGUCGGCAUCCUGCUGGGUAAGGUUGUAAGCUCUGCCCUAGAUAGGAGGCCUUCCUUGAUCUUGGUUCAUCGGGCAUUCUCUUGCAUAAUGCUGGGCACUGCCACAUAUGCGACAGGUGUUGUUGAGGCGGUAGCAUGGUCGGUCCCCGUGAUCUCUACUGCAGUGCUGACAGAUCUUCCCACGUGC